AUAAAUAUGAAAGUGUGUUUUAAUAUAUUAUUUACUAGUAAUUGCCGCAUGAUUUUGAAACGUUGGCAUUAAGUAACCGAUACUUAUGGAUCUCAGCACUAAAGAUUUUCGUCAUUACAAGCGACCUCUCGCGGCGCAUGCCAAGACCUAAAAAUAAACACAAUAUCUGCCAAAUAUCAAGCGCAGUUUCCAAACAAUAAUGGAGAAUAGCCCAAGAUUCAGUUAUAGUAACCCAAAGACGAGAGCAUGGACCGGCGUGACAGUGUUCUCUGCGUACCUUGUGCUACUAAUGGUCGAAAUUUACAUCGAAAUCUUCGAAAAUAGGACCCAUCUGCGAGUUUACGACAAACUUUCCGAGAUUUUGGUGAAAUUACAGAACUUUUAAUAGUGCCUUCGAGAUGUUUAAGCGUCCCAGUUUUGGUCGGUCGAUUUUAAUGUUAAAUAAAUAAGUAACAUUUCUUUA